rnacentral:rRNA from 1 species
GACGAACGCUGGCGGCGCGCCUAACACAUGCAAGUCGAACGAGCGAGAGAGAGCUUGCUUUCUCGAGCGAGUGGCGAACGGGUGAGUAACGCGUGAGGAACCUGCCUCAAAGAGGGGGACAACAGUUGGAAACGACUGCUAAUACCGCAUAAGCCCACGGCUCGGCAUCGAGCAGGGGGAAAAGGAGCAAUCCGCUUUGAGAUGGCCUCGCGUCCGAUUAGCUAGUUGGUGGGGUAACGGCCCACCAAGGCGACGAUCGGUAGCCGGACUGAGAGGUUGAACGGCCACAUUGGGACUGAGACACGGCCCAGACUCCUACGGGAGGCAGCAGUGGGGAAUAUUGCACAAUGGGGGAAACCCUGAUGCAGCGACGCCGCGUGGAGGAAGAAGGUCUUCGGAUUGUAAACUCCUGUUGUUGGGGAAGAUAAUGACGUUACCCAACAAGGAAGUGACGGCUAACUACGUG